AGUUCGGAUUGUAGUCUGCAACCGACUACAUGAAGCUGGAAUCGCUAGUAAUCGCGGAUCAGAAUGCCGCGGUGAGUACGUUCCCGGGUCUUGUACACACCGCCCGUCACACCAUGGGAGUCGGAAAUGCCCGAAGUCAGUGACCCAACCGUAAGGAGGGAGCUGCCGAAGGUGGAGCCGGUAACUGGGGUGAAGUCGUAACAAGGUACC
rnacentral:rRNA from 1 species